rnacentral:rRNA from 1 species
GUACGGGAGGCAGCAGUGGGGAAUUUUGCGCAAUGGGGGAAACCCUGACGCAGCAACGCCGCGUGGAGGAUGAAGUCCCUUGGGAUGUAAACUCCUUUCGAUCGGGACGAUUAUGACGGUACCGGAAGAAGAAGCACCGGCUAACUCUGUGCCAGCAGCCGCGGUAAUACAGAGGGUGCAAGCGUUGUUCGGAAUUAUUUGGCGUAAAGGGCGCGUAGGCGGUGCGGUAAGUCUGUGGUGAAAUCUCCGGGCUCAACUCGGAAAUUGCCGCGGAAACUGCCGUGCUCGAGUGUGGGAGAGGUGAGUGGAAUUCCCGAUGUAGCGGUGAAAUGCGUAGAUAUCGGGAGGAACACCUGUGGCGAAAGCGGCUCACUGGACCACAACUGACGCUGAUGCGCGAAAGCUAGGGGAGCAAACAGGAUUAGAAACCCUAGUAGUCCU